UACGGGGGGGGCAAGCGUUGUUCGGAAUUACGGGGCGUAAAGGGCGUGUAGGCGGUCAGGUAAGUGGGAUGUGAAAUGCCCCGGCUCACCCGGGGACCGGCAUCCCAUACUGCUUGGCUUGAGUACGGGAGAGGAUGUGGGAAUUCCUGGUGUAGCGGUGAAAUGCGUAGAUAUCAGGAGGAAUACCGGUGGCGAAGGCGGCAUCCUGGACCAUAACUGACGCUGAGGCGCGAAAGCUAGGGGAGCAAACGGG
rnacentral:rRNA from 1 species